AAAGACGAAGUUAUCAUCGUUCUCCUUCAGUCGCUCAGACAUCCAAGGAAGGUUUGGGCCAUCUCUGGUCCGUUAGGACCUCUGGUGGAAACUACGAAUGGCGGAAAAGCAUCAUCACAGCGAACAGAUGAGAGUCUGGGAGAUC